rnacentral:tRNA from 1 species
CAGGUGUAGUUCAAUGGCAGAACUCCAGCUUCCCAAGCUGGCCACGAGGGUUCGAUUCCCUUCACCUG